AGGGCGCAGGGCGAAUGCCUUGGCACUGGGAGCCGAUGAAAGACGUGAUAAGCUGCGAUAAGCUUCGGGGAGCUGCAAAUAAGCAUUGAUCCGGAGAUUUCUGAAUGAGGAAACUCACCUGGGUUCAUACUCAGGUACGUUACACUGAACUUCAAAAUAGGUGUAUCGAGGGAACCGCCUGAACUGAAACAUCUAAGUAGGGCGAGGAAGAGACAUCAAACGAGAUUCCGUAAGUAGUGGCGAGCGAACGCGGAAGAGGGCAAACCGAGAGUAGAAAUACUUUCGGGGUACGGACUGCAUUUAGGACUUAAGAUGUUAACCGAACGGCAUGGGAAGGCCGGUCAGAGAGUGUGAGAACCACGUAGGUGAAAACGACAAGAGCCGAGCAAUUCCAGAGUACGGCCAGACACGUGAAACCUGGUCGGAAUACGGGGGGACCACCCUCCAACCCUAAAUACUACCCAGUGACCGAUAGCGUAUAGUACUGUGAAGGAAAGGUGAAAAGCACCCCGGGAGGGGAGUGAAAAAGAACCUGAAACCCUGUGCCUACAAGCACCUAGAGCGCGUCAAAGCGUGAUAGGGUACUUUUUGUAGAACGGUCCGGCGAGCGAUUGUAUGCAGCAAGGUUAAGGACUUAAGGUCUGGAGCCGAAGCGAAAGCGAGUUUGAAAAGGGCGUUAAGUUGCAUAUAAUGGGCCCGAAACCGGGUGACCUACCCAUGGUCAGGUUGAAGUGGAAGUAAAAUUCCAUGGAGGACCGAACCGACCUCCGUUGAAAAGGCGGCGGAUGAACUGUGGGUAGCGGAGAAAUUCCAAUCGAACCCGGAGAUAGCUGGUUCUCCCCGAAAUAGUUUUAGGACUAGCCUCAAGUUAGAUACCUGGAGGUAAAGCACUGAAUAGCCUAGCGGCCGAGAGGUUAGCGAAGCUUAUCAAACUCAGAAUGCCAGAGUAUUGAUGCUUGGGAGUCAGACAGUGUCAGAUAAAUGUCAUUGUCAAAAGGGAAACAGCCCAGAUCUACAGCUAAGGUCCCAAAGUCAGGUUAAGUGGAAAACGAUGUGAAGAUACGCAGACAACCAGGAUGUUGGCUCAGAAGCAGCCACUCAUUCAAAGAGUGCGUAAUAGCUCACUGGUCGAGCGUCUUUGCGCGGAGAAUUUAACGGGGCUAAACCUGACACCGAAGCUUAGGCAGCAUGUUUACAUGCUGGGUAGGGGAGCGUUGUAUACGCGGUGAAACAGUAGCGCAAGCGGCUGUGGAGUGUAUAGAAGUGAGAAUGCCGGAAUGAGUAGCGCGAAUGCAGUGAGAAUCUGCAUGGCCGAAAGCCUCAGGUUUCUGGAGGAAGGUUCGUCCGCUCCAGGUUAGUCGGGAGCUAAGGUGAGGCCUAACGGCGUAGCCGAUGCACAGACGGUAGAGAUUCCGUCACCACCAAAAGAGUUAAACACAGGGACACAUAUGAAGUCUCGGAGCCGGGUGUUGGUUCCGGUAGCGAUCGAGGGAAAUUAGUACCGAAGUCCGGGAUGGAAGAUGGCGAGAAAAGCUGUGUGUAUUUCUGCGGUGCCCGUACCGCAAACCGACACAGGUAGGUAGGAAGAAGAUUCUAAGGCCAACGGGAGAAGGGUUGUUAAGGAACUCGGCAAAUUGACCCCGUAACUUCGGGAGAAGGGGUGCUGCAGCAAUGCAGCCGCAGAGAAUCGGCCCAAGCAACUGUUUACCAAAAACACAGGUUUGUGCUAAAUCGAAAGAUGACGUAUACGAGCUGACGCCUGCCCGGUGCUGGAAGGUUAAGAGGAGAUGUGCAAGCAUUGAAUCGAAGCCCCAGUGAACGGCGGCCGUAACUAUAACGGUCCUAAGGUAGCGAAAUUCCUUGUCAGGUAAGUUCUGACCCGCAUGAAAGGCGUAAUGAUUUGGGCACUGUCUCAACAGCCCGCCCGGCGAAAUUGUAGUACCGGUGAAGAUGCCGGUUACCCGCGACAAGACGGAAAGACCCCAUGGAGCUUUACUGUAGCCUAAUAUUGGGUUUCGAUGUUGCAUGCACAGGAUAGAUGGGACACUGGGAAGCAGGUGCUUUGGCGCUUGUGGAGUGGCCGUUGGGAUACCAUCCUUGCGAUAUUGGAAUUCUAACCUGCGCCUUUGAAUCAAGGCGGGGGACAUUGUUAGGUGGGCAGUUUGACUGGGGCGGUCGCCUCCUAAAGAGUAACGGAGGCGUUCAAAGGUUCGCUCAGCUUGAACGGAAAUCAAGCAAAAGAGUGCAAACGCAGAAGCGAGCCUAACUGCGAGACUGACGGGUCGAGCAGUAACGAAAGUUGGAGUUAGUGAUCCGGUGGUAUGUGAGUGGAAAUGCCAUCGCUCAACGGAUAAAAGUUACCCUGGGGAUAACAGGCUGAUCUCCCCCAAGAGUCCACAUCGACGGGGAGGUUUGGCACCUCGAUGUCGGCUCAUCGCAUCCUGGGGCUGUAUUCGGUCCCAAGGGUUUGGCUGUUCGCCAAUUAAAGCGGUACGCGAGCUGGGUUCAGAACGUCGUGAGACAGUUCGGUCCCUAUCUGUCGUGGGCGCAGGAUAUUUGAUGGGAGCUGUUCCUAGUACGAGAGGACCGGAGCGGACGUACCUCUGGCGCACCAGUUGUUCUGCCAAGAGCAUAGCUGGGCAACUAUGUACGGAUCGGAUAAACGCUGAAAGCAUCUAAGCGUGAAGCCGACCCAAAGAUAAGAUAUCCCAUUGU
rnacentral:rRNA from 1 species